rnacentral:rRNA from 1 species
AAGGGGAGCAAUCCCUGAGUAGAGUGGCAAACGGGUGAGUAACACGUGGGUGACCUGCCUUCGAGUGGGGGAUAACCUUCCGAAAGGAGGGCUAAUACCGCAUGACAUACUGUGUUUCGAUACACGGAUAUCAAAGCUGGGGAUCGCAAGACCUGGCGCUUGAAGAGGGGCCCGCGUCCGAUUAGCUAGUUGGUGAGGUAACGGCUCACCAAGGCUCCGAUCGGUAUCCGGCCUGAGAGGGCGGACGGACACACUGGAACUGAGACACGGUCCAGACUCCUACGGGAGGCAGCAGUGGGGAAUUGUUCGCAAUGGGCGAAAGCCUGACGACGCAACGCCGCGUGGAGGAUGAAGAAUUUCGGUUCGUAAACUCCUUUCGACCGAGAUGAACAUCCCGCGAUCUAAUAAGUCGUGGGACUGACAGUAUCGAGAGAAGAAGCCCCGGCUAACUCUGUGCCAGCAGCCGCGGUAAUACAGGGGGGGCAAGCGUUGUUCGGAAUUACUGGGCGUAAAGGGUUCGUAGGUGGCCAACUAAGUCAGACGUGAAAUCCCUCAGCUUAACUGGGGAACUGCGUCUGAAACUGGUUGGCUUGAGUGCAGGAGAGGAAUGCGGAAUUCCAGGUGUAGCGGUGAAAUGCGUAGAUAUCUGGAGGAACACCGGUGGCGAAGGCGGCAUUCUGGACUGUAACUGACACUGAGGAACGAAAGCCAGGGG